GCUUCGUAAGACAGAGGUGAAAUCCCCUGGCUCAACCUGGGAACUGCCUUUGUGACUGCGAAGCUAGAGUACGGCAGAGGGGGGUGGAAUUCCACGUGUAGCAGUGAAAUGCGUAGAGAUGUGGAGGAACACCGAUGGCGAAGGCAGCCCCCUGGGCCGAUACUGACGCUCAUGCACGAAAGCGUGGGUAGCAAACAGGAUUAGAUACCCUGGUAGUCCACGCCCUAAACGAUGUCAACUAGGUGUUGGGUGGGUAAAACCAUUUAGUACCGUAGCUAACGCGUGAAGUUGACCGCUUGGGGAGUACGGCCGCAAGGUUAAAACUCAAACGGAAUUGACGCGGGACCCGCACAAGCGGUGGAUGAUGUGGAUUAAUUCGAUGCUACGCGAAAAACCUUACCUACCCUUGACAUGUUCAGAAUCCUGGAGAGAUUUGGGAGUGCCCGAAAGGGAGCUGGAACACAGGUGCUGCAUGGCUGUCGUCAGCUCGUGUCGUGAGAUGUUGGGUUAAGUCCCGCAACGAGCGCAACCCUUGUCGUUAAUUGCCAUCAUUUAGUUGGGCACUUUAACGAGACUGCCGGUGACAAACCGGAGGAAGGUGGGGAUGACGUCAAGUCCUCAUGGCCCUUAUGGGUAGGGCUUCACACGUCAUACAAUGGUCGGUAC
rnacentral:rRNA from 1 species